GUGAUCUAAUUUUUGUAAUUUGGGUUUAUAAUGAAUAUGUGGAUUGUUCUUUUGAGCAGAUAUUGUAUAUUUAUUUCUCAGAUUCUGUAAUACAUUAUAUUAUGUUACAGCCAUCUACUACACUGGUUUUGCAGUUCUAUAGAGUAUAAUGUAGAUGUGUCUGAUGUUUUGAAGGAAAAACAACAACAUUAUUCUUAUGUGUUACUAUUGAUAUGUUUGAAGAAUAUACACACAUCCAGCCAUUUCAUCACUUUAUUUUUCCUUUAACGAAAGAAAUGUAUUAUUUGCACAAUAAUGUAUCUGCUACAUAAUGUUAAAUAUGUAUACAAGUGAGUUACGUCAUCCUCAGUUUGCGGAUAGACGCUGGCGAGGAAAGACGCACUUAUUUUCUCUCGCUCUUCCUACUUAAUGUUGUGUGUGAUGUGGGAAGAGGUUGGCGCAACGAAAAAUAUUGAUCAAAUUGUCCCAUAUGUUUCCAGGUAUGUUCAGUUCUUCAAUUUAACCAGCAUAACGUGAUCUAAUUUUUGUAAUUUGGGUUUAUAAUGAAUAUGUGGAUUGUUCUUUUGAGCAGAUAUUGUAUAUUUAUUUCUCAGAUUCUGUAAUACAUUAUAUUAUGUUACAGCCAUCUACUACACUGGUUUUGCAGUUCUAUAGAGUAUAAUGUAGAUGUGUCUGAUGUUUUGAAGGAAAAACAACAACAUUAUUCUUAUGUGUUACUAUUGAUAUGUUUGAAGAAUAUACACACAUCCAGCCAUUUCAUCACUUUAUUUUUCCUUUAACGAAAGAAAUGUAUUAUUUGCACAAUAAUGUAUCUGCUACAUAAUGUUAAAUAUGUAUACAAGUGAGUUACGUCAUCCUCAGUUUGCGGAUAGACGCUGGCGAGGAAAGACGCACUUAUUUUCUCUCGCUCUUCCUACUUAAUGUUGUGUGUGAUGUGGGAAGAGGUUGGCGCAACGAAAAAUAUUGAUCAAAUUGUCCCAUAUGUUUCCAGGGCGGGUCAAUAAAUUCAGCUGUUCUGAAGCCAUCCUGUUGUCUACUGUGUGAAAUUCGUUAUGUGCAGAAAGGGAUCUGCUACACAU
ensembl:lncRNA